rnacentral:rRNA from 1 species
AGCGAACGCUGGCGGCAGGCCUAACACAUGCAAGUCGAACGAACCUUUCGGGGUUAGUGGCGGACGGGUGAGUAACACGUGGGAACGUGCCUUUAGGUUCGGAAUAACUCAGGGAAACUUGUGCUAAUACCGAAUGUGCCCUUCGGGGGAAAGAUUUAUCGCCUUUAGAGCGGCCCGCGUCUGAUUAGCUAGUUGGUUGAGGUAAUGGCUCACCAAGGCGACGAUCAGUAGCUGGUCUGAGAGGAUGAUCAGCCACAUUGGGACUGAGACACGGCCCAAACUCCUGCGGGAGGCAGCAGUGGGGAAUCUUGCGCAAUGGGCUGAAGCCUGACGCAGCCAUGCCGCGUGAAUGAUGAAGGUCUGAGGAUUGUAAAAUUCUUUCACCGGGGACGAUAAUGACGGUACCCGGAGAAGAAGCCCCGGCUAACUUCGUG